GAUGAACGCUGGCGGCGUGCCUAAUACAUGCAAGUCGAGCGAACAGACGAGGAGCUUGCUCCUCUGACGUUAGCGGCGGACGGGUGAGUAACACGUGGAUAACCUACCUAUAAGGCUGGGAUAACUUCGGGAAACCGGAGCUAAUACCGGAUAAUAUAUUGAACCGCAUGGUUCAAUAGUGAAAGACGGUUUUGCUGUCACUUAUAGAUGGAUCCGCGCCGCAUUAGCUAGUUGGUAAGGUAACGGCUUACCAAGGCGACGAUGCGUAGCCGACCCGAGAGGGUGAUCGGCCACACUGGAACUGAGACACGGUCCAGACUCCUACGGGAGGCAGCAGUAGGGAAUCUUCCGCAAUGGGCGAAAGCCUGACGGAGCAACGCCGCGUGAGUGAUGAAGGUCUUCGGAUCGUAAAACUCUGUUAUUAGGGAAGAACAAAUGUGUAAGUAACUAUGCACGUCUUGACGGUACCUAAUCAGAAAGCCACGGCUAACUACGUG
rnacentral:rRNA from 1 species